GACGAACGCUGGCGGCGUGCUUAACACAUGCAAGUCGAACGGAAAGGCCCUGCUUUUGUUGGUUGCUCGAGUGGCGAACGGGUGAGUAACACGUGAGUAACCUGCCCUUGACUUUGGGAUAACUUCAGGAAACUGGGGCUAAUACCGGAUAGGAGCUCCUGCUGCAUGGUGGGGGUUGGAAAGUUUCGGCGGUGGGGGAUGGACUCGCGGCUUAUCAGCUUGUUGGUGGGGUAGUGGCUUACCAAGGCUUUGACGGGUAGCCGGCCUGAGAGGGGGACCGGCCACAGUGGGACUGAGAGAGGGCCCAGACUGCUACGGGAGGCAGUAGUGGGGAAUAUUGCACAGUGGGCGGAAGCCUGAUGCAGAAACGCCGCGUGCGGGAUGACGGCCUUCGGGUUGUAAACCGCUGUCGCCGGUGACGAAGCGUGAGUGACGGUAAUGGGUAAAGAAGCACCGGCUAACUACGUG
rnacentral:rRNA from 1 species